rnacentral:rRNA from 1 species
AGUGAACGCUGGCGGCAUGCCUAAUACAUGCAAGUCGAACGGCAGCACAGUAAGAUUUCGCUCUUACGGGUGGCGACUGGCGGGUGGGUGAGGCAUAGAUAGCAAUCUACUUUUUCGUGGGUAACAACGGAGGGCAACUUAUGCUACCACAGCAUACUUCCUACGGGUGAAUGCAGGGGAUCUUCGGACCUUGCGCGUCUGAUGGAGCCGAUGUCGCAUUAGCUAGUUGGCGGGGUAAAGGCCCACCAAGGCGACGAUCCGUAGCCGGUCUGAGAGGGUGAUCGGCCACACUGGAACUGAGACACGGUCCAGACUCCUACGGGAGGCAGCAGUAGGGAAUCUUGGGCAAUGGGCGCAAGCCUGACGCAGCCACGCCGCGUGAGUGAAGAAGGUCUUCGGAUCGUAAAACUCUUUUGUUAGGGAAGAAAAACUGCAGGUGUAACUCCCGCUGUUCUGACGGUACCCAAAGAGAAAGCAACGGCUAACUACGUG